CUUUGUAGCGCGAAGGCGGUGCCUAGCUAAGACGUGUUGGUCACUGGAACUGCCUUCUCGUCGGCUGUUAACGACGCACGCAAAAACGAUGGUUCAGUGAGAGUCAUAUGACAUCUGUUACCCCUUGACUCCACAAUUACCUCCUAUGGGAAAUGUUGUGGGUCAUCUCCAGUCUUGGGCUCCCCCAAUAUCCACCAGCAUCCUCUCUCAGCAGUAAAGUUUCUCGGGGGAUUGAUCUUGGGAAAAUCUGCUGGGAUGUCCACUCCUGGGAAGACUGGCAGCCCUCUUCAUUUUCUUUCAAGAUAACUGCCAAUCAAACACCAGAUUAUUUAUUAUGUUCUGAUAAGUAAAUCAGAACAUAAUAGAACUAACAGAGGGUGUAAUUUCUUUUUACUAUUACUGUAUUUAUCUCUGGACCCCAAACCAAAUUCUUAGUGUUAUAGUGUUUUAAAGCAAUACCCCUAUUUAUGAAUUACACUGUACAUAAACAAAUUCUAUCCUUUGGAGAGAUGAGACUGUUCUCAACCAGUGAUAUGUGAAGAAAAAGACGAAGGAGGCUCAAUAAUAAUUUUUUGUAUGUUAAGAGAUCCAGGUAAGGAAAUCCCAGAAAGUUGAUUCUAGUCAUCAGGACAAAGCGUUUUCUCUGGCAGAAACAUUUCAUCACUCAUCACUCUUUUCAGUCCUUGGAAGAUUGCAAAAUGCUACAACAAUAAUCAAGUGCUAAUGACCUCUGCCUUGCAUGGGGCAUGUUUGGUACAAAAAAACAAAAAGAAAAGAUCCACGUACAAAAAUCAGCAAUGACGAGAAACUCAAACAGCAAGAAGGGUGUCAAACAGGAGCAAGAAUUUGAUGUUUUGUGUGAUUACUCACUUCUUUGAUGUUGCAAAUUACAAACUCCUAGAUUCAUUCUGACAGCAAAGUACUUAACCAAGCACAGAAAUCUGUAAUAAAAUCAGAUUUACAAAUGUCUAAAUAAUAAUCAUGUUUAUUACCCACAAUAGGCAAGAACUCACAAAAAAGAAAAAUAAACUAGAAGACAUAUUCCUGGUUUCCCGGGAGAGUAUGAGAAACAGAAGCUACACAUUUAUUGUCACACCCAGGGGUAUAUUUCUGCAUGUGGUUUUAGAUCACUCACUGACAUUUUACUUCCAUCAUUACAAUCCAGAUUUGAUGCCCCUCGUGCAGUACCUCGCCACACCACCUAAAUCUCAACCCUCCCCAUCUCCACGCUGCUCUCUCCAGUGUUGGGUAAACAAGGCGGAACCCUUGUCAGCGUGGCUAAGCUGGUGGCUCAUGACAGAACGCUGAAUGAGUGAUUUAAGGUUUCAAGUGAGCAGCUUUCACAGUUAAUUAACCUGCUGAUGGCUGUGCAUGUGUGGAGUAGAGCAAGGGAUUCAUGGGAGGAAGCCCUCUUCAGUUGCCUUGCCAUUUCAAGUUAAGACAGCCACGCACAUUACUGUGACACUGGGCCUAAAGUCAUCAAGCCGAGUGAUCGCUCAUUUGUUUCUGUGGUAGCUGCUUGUUCUGCAGGUUUAGCCUUGUCUUCUCUCUUCACCUUCAAAACAUAAGACAAGGGAUUAAACAGGAACAUGGCUAUCUUUCGACGCCAAGCUUAUAGGACAUAAAGAGGAGACAAAAUAAACGUACAUUGUAAAUAUGAUUUUCAGACGACUGCAAGUCUAGAGGGCUAUAAUGAUAUACAGUUUGCGAAACAGUCUAUACAGUCUCAUUCAUUUUACUCUAAAGUCUGACAAAAAGGGCAAGAACAAAUGCCAAGUUCCAACUCAAUAAUUAUGAAAACCCUUAGCUACUCACUUAGGAAGCUUCCAGAAGGACACCAAAAUACCAACAACUACAUACUUCACUGAUUUAAAUGUUCAGAAAGUUAACUGUAAAGCUGCAUUUAAAUAUGACCCAAUCAUCCACUGUGGGUUUCCAAAAUAUUUGCCAUUCAUUUGGUGAGGUCAUGGACUAAAUGUGUGCCUGAUCUGGCCUGGGUCACUGCAGUUUGGGAAAAAAAAUACUCACACUUUCAAUGUGGAGCCUGAACACCCAUCAGUGUUUUCACACCCACCCCAGGUUUCUUCAGAAACUUGAUCUGUGGUGUGCUGAAAGCUGGGUUUUCACCUGUUAGCAGAUCAACCACUAGUUUCUGGGGUCACUGUGUAUUUUGCUCUGGUUUGCCACCCAGGCAGCAUUGCAUUUCAGUGGGAGGACAGUGUGUGUGAUUCAUGCCUUGAUAAUUACAGUGCAUGUCCUCUUAUUAUUAGCAGCUGACUACCGGUAUUCAAACAGAUGCUAUGUGCUUUAAGAAGGAUUUGUGCUUUUCUGUAGAUGGACUGUGACAUGUGGACAUGAGUUUAUAUUUUAAUUGCAUUUUGAUGCAAUACUUAUAACUAAUCUUGAUUCCCAAAAGAUAAAUAUAAAUACCAUUUUACCAUCUUUCUAGAACAAAUACCUCUAAGUGUAAAUGGGCACUGCACUGACAAUCUACAUAAAUGCUGUAAUUGUCCCCCAAGAUAAAGCUUUCGCAUAUUCAUCUGUGUGGCAGUAAUGUAAAAUUUUACCUAAUUUACAUCAUCCUUGAGGCAGUGCAGCAAAACAAUUUCCAAGUGAGGGCAAAAGCUCUGAUGAAACCAAAUAAGAACAUGUACGUCAUUAUUGACUCUUAGCCUUUUUUAACUACUCUCCGAAGGACAAUAUAAUUGUCUACAUGUAUAUAGCUCUAGGUUGUAUCAGAUUGCUCUUUGAUGAGUUCAUGUAUGUAGUCUCAGUAAACUGUACAAUCAUGGAUUGACGGGUAAUCAGAAUAGCAUUUCAAAACUAAUUUCUCUAUAAUUGUAUCCAAUUAUUUAUGCUCUUUCUAAUAAGUGCAGUGACUGACAAAAUGAACAGGAGAGGAUACGUUCCAUUAAUACUAAAACAUUGGCAAAUAGAUAUAUACAACUAUGUAAUUUGUCUCUUGUAAUUAUGCAUUUUGGAUCAACUUUAACGCACUAUAAACGUGUAGAUUAUUAGCUUUCCUGUGUAAAAGGCAGUAUAUUUUAACAGGUUAAAUGUUAAGUGAAUUUUACAUGUAUACAUUGAUACAUUCAUUUCUCAAAAAUGGAUUGUGGAAAAGAAUGCCUCACUGCUGAUCUAUGGGACUCAAUGAUGCAGCUCUCUUCCAAGGCACUCUGGGAUGCAUUUAGGACAUGCAUGGAGAAAACAAUGGCGAGUGUAUUACCAGAAAAGAUAAAUCUAUCUCAUUAAUCCCUUAUUCUCCCAGCCUGGGAGACACAUUUAAGAGAACAUGCAGAAGCAGUUCUGUGUGCUAGGAUCUCUCAUGCAGAUGGCAGAGAGGGGGAGAGGAAAGGAGGAGGGGCUAUUGUGUCAAUCUGUGCAUCAUUAGACAGUGCAGUGACGGCAAGAGGUAGAGCGGGAUUACCAAGAUGUGGCGUUCACAACAAAACGAUCAGUGAUGUCUUGUCAAAGAAAAGAUGCUGUAUUCCUUCUUCUAUGAAGCAGUGCAUCCAAAUUAAAUGACUUUUUCAGCACAUUAUCAUUAAAUAUAAGAUAUAUAUAAGACAUAUUUAUAAUUGUAUUUUUUAAUGAAGAUUUUUAAGGUUGUAGCUAUUUUUAGCAUCUUUUCCUCUAAAAUGUUUUAAGCCCUUGUUCUUCUUUCUCGAAUUUAUGAAGAUUUCAAAUCACCACAAUCAGUUCAAAGUUAGUAUCAAAUGAGCUUGGCACUGAUUUUCCUUGGCAACAUUUGAAAGCUAGUGCCAGUUGUGUCUCUGCUCUCAGUGCAGGCACCUUCAGGGUAAAGAAGGUGUAAAGUCUAAAGUUCAACCAUAGUAUUUAUUUAUUGGGCUGAAAUCGCCCCAUCAAUGGUCUUCUAGUCCACAAUUCUGUUGUAUCACACGGCUACAUGUUCAAAUUACCACCAGUAAAUUCGAUUGAUUUCGGUCAAAAAUGGCAUUGAUUUUUACCCAUCUGAAAUGACCAGGGAGUCCAUAAAACAGAUAAAGAGGUCAUAACAAUUUUACCAGCCUGUAGAAUUCCACAGAAAGAUUUAAGGGGUCAUGAAAGCCUGAUGGUUAAAAAUGAAGCCUGCAAAAGGCCAACAAAAUGUACCACGGAUGCUGCAUUACAAAUAGCUCCAUCUAUGAAGCAGUCGAUAGCUGAGAAACAAAACGUACUGUUGAGUUUAUACGAGUCCAACCAUAAAGUGUUCUUUUAAGAAGAACAUAGACCCAUUUAUUUUACCUAACAGACUGAGGAAGAAGACAAAUGAAAGUAGAUGUAGCAGUGUAACACUGGACAGACAUAUGGAGUUUGCCACUGACCUUGGUGCCUUAUAAGUGAGCAAAUUUUAUUGAUUCAUUCCUCAUCCAACCACCUUGAGCAUAUUGCUAAGUUUUAGACUGACGGUGAAUGUGUUUCACUUGCUUUCUGUAAACACACCAAUGGGUCGACAACCAGGAGUGAUUGUCUAGUUGACACGAAAAGAACUAUUACUAAUUUAUGUCUCAUCUUUCCCUAGACUGGACUAACAGCUGAGGAUACCUUGUCUCAGGGCCAAGCUGGAUUUCAGUGCUGUCAACUUUUUAUUUUACUUGUCAGAAUGGAAAUGGACAUACAAGGGUUUGUUUGCCCCUCUGACGUCUUUAGCCACAUAGGCUGUGAGAGGAAAUAGACAGAGAGCAGAUUUUAAGGACCCCACACCUCUUAAUGGUAUGCUUCGUAUGAGAGUGUGGGAUUUGGAGGGCCAAGCAACUCUUCCUUGUCUUCUUCCUCCUGAGACAUCAUUUACUCUUAUAAAGAAAAAUGUGGAAGAAAAAGUGAUCGGAGCUGUAGGUGGAUAUAAAAGUCUCAGUUCUCACAGUUCUCCACCUCAGGAAAGAUGAUGUUCAAUACUGGGCUGGCAAACUGGAAAAAAAAACCUAAAGAAAAUCAUGCGACCUUCUAAAUCAGUGAAACCAGAUGUUUGGUGUUCUGGUUUUCCUUUCAAUCUUCCGGAUGUGACAGUUUAAAAGUAUAACGUGUAUUUGAUCUCUAGUAAUGUGUAAAAUCUAAUUCGGGAAGAAAUUAGUUCAAUGCAAAAUCAAAACUGAAUCAAAUGAUUACUGCCUAAACAUCGCAGUUCCUUGCCGAGAUGUAGGCCUCUGAAGGAAAACUUCCAUGUGUUUCAGUGCUGAUUUCAAAAGUCUAACCAUUUCUCUAAUGUAUAUGUUCAGCUAAGCCAAAUCCACACAAUGACAUCAGAUUAUACGUCUCAAAACCAUGAAAAUAAAUAUGUCUUUCUGCAGCCUUGGCUUUGAGGUUUGUAAGGUUGGAGGGCUGCAAUUUUUCAACAUGCAUGCAAGGUUUUGUCAUUAUUUCACUGAUUUAUCUGAAAAUAGUGACUUUCUCUGUGUAAACCACUGAAGUAUAAAUGAUAUAUUUGCAGAACAUGGGGAAGACAGCUCAGCUAAACCAUGAAGUGAGUUAUGAAACAGAAUUUAAAUUUCAAGCUAAAUAGACAUCCGCAGAUCAGCUGCACAUAUGCACUCUUUGCAUGUUUCUGAUUGUGCAGCCAUUGGUGGUAAAGUAAUACUUUCUUCAGUGUUUUAUUCUGUUUAUUUGAUAUUUCUAUUUAACAUUUUAGAAGGAAAUGGUUCAACUUGUACCCAAUACUCCUCCAGAUAGUUACUUAGUAAAUGCAGUUUCACUGAAAUAUUUGUAUUAUUUAAAUAAUGUGUUAAACUAGUGAGCAGUUGGCGUUAAUUUAUAUCCCCCUGAUUAAUCCAAGUCCAAUAAUCCUUCCUCCUUGACCUCCUGUUUUGUUCUUAACAUGCUCCUGACAGAAUUAUAUGCAUCUAUAGCUGCUAAAGAUUUUUUAUGUACUGUACAAGUAGCAACCUCUGGGUCUAGAACCCCCCUAUUGUUUCCAGUAACUUACAAACACUUCUGUAGAAGUUUUCAUGCAAUUUUUAUGACUUGCAGUGUGGUUACAUGUACUGACAGACCAUCCAAAAAAUUAAUAAAAUUCUACAUUUUAUUUUGAUGUAA